rnacentral:tRNA from 2 species
AGUUAAUGAGUUUUAAAACAUAUAUUUUGAAAAUAUAAAAUAGGAUAUCAACCUAUUAACUU